GCUUAGUAAAGAAGUCGAUGCUUGUGUCACGGGUCUCCUCAAGGAACUGGUGCGCUUCCAAGACCGGAUGUACCAGAAGGAUCCUGUCAAGGCCAAGACAAAACGCCGGCUUGUGCUGGGGCUGAGGGAGGUCCUGAAACACCUGAAGCUCAGGAAGCUGAAGUGUAUCAUCAUCUCUCCCAACUGUGAGAAGACACAGUCUAAAGGUGACAGCCCUGCAGCACACCACAGCACACAGGCUAUUGUGCCAGUGCCCAGUAUUCUGCCUCACAGUCAGCCAUGCACAUGGUCAGCAGGCACGUUGGCAGCUUGCUUUCGGUUCUAACAGAAUUCAGUUUCUAAUGUGCUAUCAACUGAGCCCUACCUAACACUAACUCUAGCCCUCCUGACCAAGGGUGGGACGAGCCUGCUGUGCAGGUUGUAGCUCCAGAGCCAGUGAGGUUGCUCAAGCCCUUGCAGGGGCUUUAGUCCUGUGGGCAAACUUGUUCAGUCUGGUCAGCUCCUCUGCUCACUCACUGCUAAUGUGGGUUUGUCAGUACUCUACAGUUGGUCUGGCUUGGUAGAAGGCUGUUUGAGGUAAUAGUGAACUUGUCUGCCCU
rnacentral:lncRNA from 1 species